AUUGAACGCUGGCGGCAUGCCUUACACAUGCAAGUCGAACGGCAGCAUGGAGAGCUUGCUCUCUGAUGGCGAGUGGCGAACGGGUGAGUAAUGCAUCGGAACGUACCGUGUAAUGGGGGAUAACGUAGCGAAAGUUACGCUAAUACCGCAUACGACCUGAGGGUGAAAGCAGGGGAUCGCAAGACCUUGCGUUAUACGAGCGGCCGAUGUCAGAUUAGCUAGUUGGUGAGGUAAAGGCUCACCAAGGCGACGAUCUGUAGCGGGUCUGAGAGGAGGAUGCGCCACACUGGGACUGAGACACGGCCCAGACUCCGACGGGAGGCAGAAGUGGGGAAUUUUGGACAAUGGGGGCAACCCUGAUCCAGCCAUGCCGCGUGAGUGAAGAAGGCCUUCGGGUUGUAAAGCUCUUUCGGCCGGGAAGAAAUCGCACAGGCUAAUACUCUGUGUGGAUGACGGUACCGGCAUAAGAAGCACCGGCUAACUACGUGCCAGCCGCCGCAGUAA
rnacentral:rRNA from 1 species